UUAGUGUUACUCAUAUAAGCUUUAUUUAUACCUAAUACUUAUUAAAUUAGGUAUGUGUGUAAAACUAUUUUUUUACUAGGAUUUCUGAUGCACUGGUUAAAAACACAGCAGCCGAUAAUUCAGUUAAUUUACCAAGUGAUUUGCCCUUCAAAGCUGCAGGGGUAGUUUUCCUGAAGAGUGCAAAAACUUCUUUAGAUUCCAAAAUGGUAUAUAGUACAAACAGUGAAGCUAAUAUACACAAAUCUGAUCAUUCAUCAACAAUAACUGCAUCUGAGAUUAAUUGUUACCGUCUAGGUUUAGGUCAACAAUUACUAUUUCUCAUCCAAGCCGUUUUUGUUUAACUGCUACAAAUUCCCUGACUCUGCCAAGGAAAAGGGUAAAAUCAAAAUGAUAUCCUGAGGACCUAAGCACUGAUGAUUCCACCGUUUCAAAAGCUAAAUCACUUGUCACCAAAUUAUGGAAAAAAAAAUAAAGAACAAAAAAAUUAAAUUCGAAGAUUGCAACAAAAAAAUUUGCGCCAAAGAAAUUGAAUUAGAUGU